rnacentral:tRNA from 1 species
CUUCUUUUAGUUUAUAAAAAAUAUCAAAUUGUGAUUUUGAGGAAUUUUAGGAAGA